GUAGGGAAUAUUGGACAAUGGGGGGAACCCUGAUCCAGCCAUGCCGCGUGUGUGAAGAAGGCCUUUUGGUUGUAAAGCACUUUAAGCGAGGAGGAGGCUACCGAGAUUAAUACUCUUGGAUAGUGGACGUUACUCGCAGAAUAAGCACCGGCUAACUCUGUGCCAGCAGCCGCGGUAAUACAGAGGGUGCGAGCGUUAAUCGGAUUUACUGGGCGUAAAGCGCGCGUAGGUGGUUAAUUAAGUCAAAUGUGAAAUCCCCGAGCUUAACUUGGGAAUUGCAUUCGAUACUGGUUAGCUAGAGUAUGGGAGAGGAUGGUAGAAUUCCAGGUGUAGCGGUGAAAUGCGUAGAGAUCUGGAGGAAUACCGAUGGCGAAGGCAGCCAUCUGGCCUAAUACUGACACUGAGGUGCGAAAGCAUGGGGAGCAAACAGGAUUAGAAACCCGGGUAGUCC
rnacentral:rRNA from 1 species